GUGUUGAUCCAUGUGGGGUGUGGGGAUUUGAUAGCUUGAUCUCUUCCUUAUUUGAUUUGGUCAAGGACUAAUCCAAAUCCAAGUAAAAGUUGGAGUUCAAUUUAAAUUGGAUUAAGUCUAAUCCCAUUAGACUAAUGAAAUUCAAUCUAAGUCAAAUUAAAAUUAUAUCUAGUCAAAUUAAAUCUAAUUUAAUUUGAUCAAGACC
rnacentral:lncRNA from 1 species